AUGCUCACUUCAGUACCAUAUAUACUAAAAUUAGAAUGAUACAGAGAAGAUUGGCAUGACCCCUGUGCAAGGAUGAGACAUAAAGUUACAUUAAUUAAGCAUGCCUAU